UACGAAGGGAGCUAGCGUUGUUCGGAAUCACUGGGCGUAAAGCGCACGUAGGCGGAUGUGUCAGUCAGGGGUGAAAUCCCGGAGCUCAACUUCGGAACUGCCUCUGAUACAGCACGUCUUGAGUCCGGAAGAGGUGGGUGGAAUUCCUAGUGUAGAGGUGAAAUUCGUAGAUAUUAGGAAGAACACCGGUGGCGAAGGCGGAUCUCUGGGCCUUACCUGACGCUCAGGCGCGAAAGCUAGGGGAGCGAACAGG
rnacentral:rRNA from 1 species